rnacentral:rRNA from 1 species
UACGUAGGGGGCAAGCGUUGUCCGGAAUCAUUGGGCGUAAAGAGCGUGUAGGCGGCCCGAUAAGUUCGCUGUGAAAGUCCAGGGCUCAACCCUGGGAUGCCGGUGGAUACUGUCGGGCUCGAGUCCGGAAGAGGAGUGUGGAAUUCCUGGUGUAGCGGUGAAAUGCGCAGAUAUCAGGAGGAACACCAAUGGCGAAGGCAGCACUCUGGGACGUGACUGACGCUGAGACGCGAAAGCGUGGGGAGCAAACAGG